AUUAAGGGUUACAGUAGUAACGUGUGAGCCUGCCUCUAUACAGAAGAAAAAAAUUGUAACUGGAAAAUAUCUCCUCUAUUUAGAAUGUCAUGGAACAAAUUUUAUGUGACUCAAGCAUCUCUGAUGGUUUUAAGCAGCACUGCAAACACUUUGAGUACAAAGUGGGCUGACCAUUUACAUGCUGAAAGCU